UACGUAGGGUGCAAGCGUUGUCCGGAAUUAUUGGGCGUAAAGAGCUCGUAGGCGGUCUGUCGCGUCGGCUGUGAAAUCCCGGAGCUCAACUCCGGGUCUGCAGUCGAUACGGGCAAACUGGAGUACUGCAGGGGAGACUGGAAUUCCUGGUGUAGCGGUGAAAUGCGCAGAUAUCAGGAGGAACACCGGUGGCGAAGGCGGGUCUCUGGGACGGUACUGACGCUGAGACGCGAAAGCGUGGGGAGCGAACAGG
rnacentral:rRNA from 1 species